GAUGAACGCUGGCGGCGUGCUUAACACAUGCAAGUCGAACGGUGAAAGCGGAGCUUGCUCUGCUGGAUCAGUGGCGAACGGGUGAGUAACACGUGAGCAAUCUGCCCUUGACUCUGGGAUAAGCGUUGGAAACGACGUCUAAUACCGGAUACGAGCUGCGAAGGCAUCUUCAGCAGCUGGAAAGAACUUCGGUCAAGGAUGAGCUCGCGGCCUAUCAGCUAGUUGGUGAGGUAACGGCUCACCAAGGCGUCGACGGGUAGCCGGCCUGAGAGGGUGACCGGCCACACUGGGACUGAGACACGGCCCAGACUCCUACGGGAGGCAGCAGUGGGGAAUAUUGCACAAUGGGCGCAAGCCUGAUGCAGCAACGCCGCGUGAGGGACGACGGCCUUCGGGUUGUAAACCUCUUUUAGCAGGGAAGAAGCGAAAGUGACGGUACCUGCAGAAAAAGCACCGGCUAACUACGUGCCAGCCGCCGCGGUAACAC
rnacentral:rRNA from 1 species